rnacentral:rRNA from 1 species
ACGGGGGCAGCAGUUGGGAAUCUUCCGCAAUGGGCGAAAGCCUGACGGAGCAACGCCGCGUGAGUGAAGAAGGUUUUCGGAUCGUAAAGCUCUGUUGUCAGGGACGAGAGACAUAUUCAGGAAAUGGGAUAUGGAGGACGGUACCUGGCGAGAAAGCCACGGCUAACUACGUGCCAGCAGCCGCGGUAAUACGUAGGUGGCGAGCGUUGUCCGGAAUUAUUGGGCGUAAAGGGAGCGCAGGUGGGAAUGUAAGUCAGUCUUAAAAGUGCGGGGCUCAACCCCGUGAGGGGAUUGAAACUACAUUUCUUGAGUGCAGGAGAGGAAAGCGGAAUUCCUAGUGUAGCGGUGAAAUGCGUAGAUAUUAGGAGGAACACCAGUGGCGAAGGCGGCUUUCUGGACUGUAACUGACACUGAGGCUCGAAAGCGUGGGGAGCGAACAGGAUUAGAUACCCUGGUA